rnacentral:rRNA from 1 species
UACGAAGGGGGCUAGCGUUGCUCGGAAUCACUGGGCGUAAAGCGCACGUAGGCGGCUUACUAAGUCAGGGGUGAAAUCCUGGAGCUCAACUCCAGAACUGCCUUUUAUACUGGUAAGCUCGAGUCCGGGAGAGGUGAGUGGAACUGCGAGUGUAGAGGUGAAAUUCGUAGAUAUUCGCAAGAACACCAGUGGCGAAGGCGGCUCACUGGCCCGGUACUGACGCUGAGGUGCGAAAGCGUGGGGAGCAAACAGG